rnacentral:rRNA from 1 species
AGCAGUCGCCACGGUAAUGCGUAGGUGGCAAGCGUUGUCCGGAAUUAUUGGGCGUAAGGGCUCGCAGGCGGUUUCUUAAGUCUGAUGUGAAAGCCCCCGGCUCAACCGGGGAGGGUCAUUGGAAACUGGGAAACUUGAGUGCAGAAGAGGAGAGUGGAAUUCCACGUGUAGCGGUGAAAUGCGUAGAGAUGUGGGGGAACACCAGUGGCGAAGGCGACUCUCUGGUCUGUAACUGACGCUGAGGAGCGAAAGCGUGGGGAGCGAACAGGAUUAGAUACCCCGGUAGUCCCUGUCUCUUAUACA